rfam:Merops nubicus contig51957, whole genome shotgun sequence.
CAAAGGCUCUUUUCAGAGCCACCCACGCUUUCUAGAGGAGAGCUU